GUGCAAGUGUGUGCUGUAGGGUGACCAGCAGUUGCCCAGUAAAGGUCAGUGGCCAGAGCAGGACGAGUUGCUGGAUGCAGUGCGUGUUCUGGAGGCUGAGCUGCAGGCUUACCGUCAAAGCCAGAACGAGCUAUAUAAAACCAUCUCAAGCGUUCAGCUUCACUGGAGGCUGCAGGAGGACAUGCACAAAAAGGUUGCCUCCCUAACUAGCAUGCUGAGCGAGCAGUGCACCAUGGAAGAUCAUCUGAUAAAAACGGUCAGAGGACAGCAGUUCAGGGCAACCAAGUGUGAGCAAAUCCUCCCAACACAACAUGACCACAGCAUGGCCGCUUACGACUCAGAGCUUUGGUUUCAGAUCUGCAGUGUAAAUUGGAGCAGGCAGAGAACGAAGUAAACUUUCUGAAACAGCAGCAGGAAAAGGGGGCGGGGCAAACCUGGAGCUCCACCCAGGAGCACCUUAGGACUAAGCAGGAAAUGGACAACGUGGUGGAGCGCAUGAAACUGAAAAUUCAAAAGGUUUGCAGGCGCGCACAAAGGACAAUUGAUAGAGAAAAAGUACAUUGGGUGUGCAUUCAGACAGGCCUGUAUUACCUUAAAACAUCUGAAAGUCUGACCAAAAAUCAGAUUUACACAAUUUUCCUCUUACCCCUAAUAUCUAGACAUGGUUGAUCAGUAAGAUGGUGCAUGCUUAGUCAAUGAGGUGAAGAGUGUUCCUGUCUAUGGCUGUGUUUACAUGCAAAGGUUUUUGCCAAUCCGAUUGAAAACAUUCCAAUUAUUGAUUAAAAGGUGUUUAUAUGCACACUCUCCUGAA